GUGUGUGUGUGUGUGUGUGUGUGUGUGUGUGUGUGUGCUAGGAUUACAGGCAUGCACCACCACACCCACCCUCAGG
rnacentral:pre_miRNA from 10 species